rnacentral:tRNA from 1 species
AAUGGACCAGCGCCUCCCUAGA